rnacentral:rRNA from 1 species
CCUACGGGAGGCUGCAGUGAGGAAUAUUGGUCAAUGGACGAGAGUCUGAACCAGCCAAGUAGCGUGAAGGAUGACUGCCCUAUGGGUUGUAAACUUCUUUUAUAUGGGAAUAAAAUGUUCCACGUGUGGGAUUUUGUAUGUACCAUAUGAAUAAGGAUCGGCUAACUCCGCGCCAGCAGCCGCGGUAAUACGGAGGAUCCGAGCGUUAUCCGGAUUUAUUGGGUUUAAAGGGAGCGUAGGUGGAUUGUUAAGUCAGUUGUGAAAGUUUGCGGCUCAACCGUAAAAUUGCAGUUGAAACUGGCAGUCUAGAGUACAGUAGAGGUGGGCGGAAUUCGUGGUGUAGCGGUGAAAUGCUUAGAUAUCACGAAGAACUCCGAUUGCGAAGGCAGCUCACUGGACUGCAACUGACACUGAGGCUCGAAAGUGUGGGUAUCAAACAGGAUUAGAUACCCGAGUAGUC